rnacentral:lncRNA from 1 species
CCUCAUGAUCCACCCGCCUUGGCCUCCCAAAGUGCUGGGAUUACAGGCUUGAGCCACCACGCCUGGCUAAUCUCAGCUCUUGUCUUCGGGAACCAUGGAGACAGAAUCCAGAAGCCUGAGGUGAGAUUCGUGACCUACACAGCUGCCAUUAGGAAGCCCAACAGUGCUUCCAAUCAGGCCGGGUCCCUGGAUAAAGCCUCGCCCCUGGGCGUGGCCCCACCCCCAGGCAGGGUUAAGGGCGCUGGGCUGUGCCUCGAGUCUGAAAUCUUUCCUAUUGCUCUUUCGUUCCUCCGUAAGAUGUGCCUUUCAGCUUUUGCCAUGAUCAUGAGGCCUCCCCAGCCAUGUGGAACUAUAUACAUUCUCAUAUUGACAAUUAUUACCAUGAAUCAAAGCAUCAAAAAUAAGGCAAUCGCAAGAUGUCCUUCACAUAUAAACAAUCAUGUUGUAAGAAUAAGAAACUUGAAUCCCUGUACAACAAAAAGAUUAGGAAGCAAAAUGUGAAUAAGCUUGUAUUCAGAAUAUAACCAUAUGUGGGUACAAAGACAACACACUCAUGUUACACCUCACUUAGGUUCCUUUAUGAUGCAUAAUGCCUGAAUCAUUCAUUUGUGAAACAAGAAUGAAUGUCAAGAAACAUGAAAUCCAAAUUGCAUUUAUUUUCACAAUAUCAAUGCUAAACUCAAAAUAGUAACUUCACUAACUCUCAAUGGUAAAUUUCAAACCUGAAAAGCAAUCUUAAUUCUUUUAACCCUAUGAAUAGGGUCUGCAAAAAAAGAUAGAUUAUUUUACUCUACUUACAAAGAGGCUGGGUCUCAGCCUGCACUUUAGCAUGAGCAACAAAGGACAGGAAAAAAACAUCAUUAAGAGUAAUGCCCAUACAUAUAAAAAUAUCUAGUUGAGCCAUGUUCCUUCUAUUUACAUAGCAAGCCAAUUAAACCACUAAAAUAGAUUUCUUACCUUCCUUCCUUGCUUCCUUCUCUUCUUCUUUUCCCUCCCUCCCCCCAGCCCCUUUUUCUUUUUUUUCUCUCUCUUGCUCUGCUAUCCAGGCUGGAGUGCACUGGUGCGGUCCUGGUUCACUGCAGCCUUGCUUGAUCUUCCAGGUCAAGCGAUCCUCCCACGUUAGCCUCCUGAGUAGCUGGGACUUCAGACACGAGGCAACAUUUUCGGCUAAUUUCUAAAUGUUCUUGUAAACACAAGAUUCGCUAUGGUACCCAGGCUGGUCUCAAACUCCUGGGCUCAAGUGAGCUGUCCACUUCAGCAUCUCAAAGUGGUGAGAUUAUAGGCAACAGCCACUGUGCCUGGUCCCUUUUCUAAGAAACUUUAAUGCAACAGGCAUUCUUAAGCAUUAGUGGUGCAGAAAAUAAACGAAAGCAUUGGCUAUUUUAAAGCUGUG